ACACUCCUGCGGGAGGCAGCAGUGGGGAAUUUUGGACAAUGGGCGAAAGCCUGAUCCAGCAAUGCCGCGUGAGUGAAGAAGGCCUUCGGGUUGUAAAGCUCUUUUGUCAGGGAAGAAACGGUGAGAGCUAAUAUCUUUUGCUAAUGACGGUACCUGAAGAAUAAGCACCGGCUAACUACGUGCCAGCAGCCGCGGUAAUACGUAGGGUGCAAGCGUUAAUCGGAAUUACUGGGCGUAAAGCGUGCGCAGGCGGUUUUGUAAGUCUGAUGUGAAAUCCCCGGGCUCAACCUGGGAAUUGCAUUGGAGACUGCAAGGCUAGAAUCUGGCAGAGGAGGGUAGAAUUCCACGUGUAGCAGUGAAAUGCGUAGAUAUGUGGAGGAACACCGAUGGCGAAGGCAGCCCCCUGGGUCAAGAUUGACGCUCAUGCACGAAAGCGUGGGGAGCAAACAGGAUUAGAAACCCCGGUAGUCCCAUG
rnacentral:rRNA from 1 species